AUUGAACGCUGGCGGCAGGCCUAACACAUGCAAGUCGAGCGGAUGAAGGGAGCUUGCUCUCUGAUUCAGCGGCGGACGGGUGAGUAAUGCCUAGGAAUCUGCCUGAUAGUGGGGGACAACGUUUCGAAAGGAACGCUAAUACCGCAUACGUCCUACGGGAGAAAGCAGGGGACCUUCGGGCCUUGCGCUAUCAGAUGAGCCUAGGUCGGAUUAGCUAGUUGGUGAGGUAAUGGCUCACCAAGGCGACGAUCCGUAACUGGUCUGAGAGGAUGAUCAGUCACACUGGAACUGAGACACGGUCCAGACUCCUACGGGAGGCAGCAGUGGGGAAUAUUGGACAAUGGGCGAAAGCCUGAUCCAGCCAUGCCGCGUGUGUGAAGAAGGUCUUCGGACUGUAAAGCACUUUAAGUUGGGAGGAAGGGCAUUAACCUAAUACGUUAGUGUUUUGACGUUACCGACAGAAUAAGCACCGGCUAACUUCGUGCC
rnacentral:rRNA from 1 species